AUAUCUCAACUGCUUUGACUUUUGUUAGUCAAAGUGAAGUUGGACUUGGAGGGACAAGUGCUGGCGCAAGCGUUUGCUUGCUUGUUGGCUCCUCUUCAAUGGAUGAAGCUUUCCUGAGUGGGACUUUACCCGAUGUGAUAAGUAAAUCUGCAUCGAAUGGUCUGCUUUCGGCUUCGUUGCAUCUUUUAUCAACCAAACCA
rnacentral:misc_RNA from 1 species